rnacentral:rRNA from 1 species
CGGGUGCACUGAUCCGGCCGGGCCUUUCCCUCUGUGGAACCCCAUGGCCUUCACUGGCUGUGCGGGGGAAACAGGACUUUUACUGUGAAAAAAUUAGAGUGCUCCAGGCAGGCCUAUGCUCGAAUACAUUAGCAUGGAAUAAUAGAAUAGGACGCGUGGUUCUAUUUUGUUGGUUUCUAGGACCGCCGUAAUGAUUAAUAGGGACAGUCGGGGGCAUCAGUAUUCAAUUGUCAGAGGUGAAAUUCUUGGAUCUAUUGAAGACUAACUACUGCGAAAGCAUUUGCCAAGGAUGUUUUCAUUAAUCAGGAACGAAAGUUAGGGGAUCGAAGACGAUCAGAUACCGUCGUAGUCUUAACCAUAAACUAUGCCGACUAGGGAUCGGACGAUGUUAUUUUUUGACUCGUCCGGCACCUUACGAGAAAUCAAAGUGCUUGGGCUCCAGGGGGAGUAUGGUCGCAAGGCUGAAACUUAAAGAAAUUGACGGAAGGGCACCACCAGGGGUGGAGCCUGCGGCUUAAUUUGACUCAACACGGGGAAACUCACCAGGUCCAGACACAAUAAGGAUUGACAGAUUGAGAGCUCUUUCUUGAUUCUGUGGGUGGUGGUGCAUGGCCGUUCUUAGUUGGUGGAGUGAUUUGUCUGCUUAAUUGCGAUAACGAACGAGACCUUAACCUGCUAAAUAGCCCGUACUGCUCUGGCAGUUCGCCGGCUUCUUAGAGGGACUAUCGG